rnacentral:rRNA from 1 species
AUCAAAAACAUAGUCGGCAGAUGAACUAAAUUUUUAUUGUCGAUAUCUUCUGCCCGGUGUUUAUAUAAACGGCCGCAGUACCUUGACUGUGCUAAGGUAGCAUAAUCAAUUGGCUAUUAAUUGUAGUCUAGUAUGAAUGAAGUAAUGAAUAGUAGCUAUAAUAAAAAAUAUUAUUUUAAUUUAAUGAACUGGUGAAAAUACCAGUAUAUAGAAAAAAGGCGAGAAGACCCUUAGAGUUUUUGAAAUAAAGAUUGUUUAAGACUUUAAUUUAGACUACUAUUAAAGUAAUUAUACAAUACACUUUUUUGUUGGGGCGACAAGAAAGCAAUAUAACCUUUCUAUUGACACUAAAAGUGGUAUUAGAUCUGACGAUAUUAUUAUGAAUGACUAAACUACCUGAGGGAUAACAGCAUAAUGAUAAAUAUUAGUUUGUGACCUCGAUGUUGGACUAGGGACUUGCACACUAACCGUGAUAAAAGCUUGUUCUGUUUCGAACAAUAAACCCC